GAGCAGACCGCGUGAGGGAGGAAGACUCUUGGGUUGUAAACCUCUUUUCUCAGGGAAGAAGAACUGACGGUACCUGAGGAAUAAGCAUCGGCUAACUCCGUGCCAGCAGCCGCGGUAAUACGGAGGAUGCAAGCGUUAUCCGGAAUCAUUGGGCGUAAAGCGUCCGCAGGUGGAGUGGUAAGUCUGUUGUCAAAGAACGGGGCUUAACCCCGUAAAGGCGAUGGAAACUGCCACACUAGAGGCUGGUAGGGGUAGAGGGAAUUCCCAGUGUAGCGGUGAAAUGCGUAGAGAUUGGGAAGAACACCAGUGGCGAAAGCGCUCUACUGGACCAGAACUGACACUCAGGGACGAAAGCUAGGGGAGCGAAAGGGAUUAGAUACCCCUGUAGUCCUAGCCGUAAACGAUGGAUACUAGGCGUAGCUCGUAUCGACCCGAGCUGUGCCGAAGCUAACGCGUUAAGUAUCCCGCCUGGGGAAUACGCACGCAAGUGUGAAACUCAAAGGAAUUGACGGGGGCCCGCACAAGCGGUGGAGUAUGUGGUUUAAUUCGAUGCAACGCGAAGAACCUUACCAGGGCUUGACAUCUGGCGAAUCUCGAUGGAAGUUGGGAGUGCCUUAGGGAACGCCAAGACAGGUGGUGCAUGGCUGUCGUCAGCUCGUGUCGUGAGAUGUCGGGUUAAGUCCCGCAACGAGCGCAACCCUCGUCCUUAGUUGCCAGCAUUAAGUUGGGAACUCUAGGGAGACUGCCGGUGACAAACCGGAGGAAGGUGGGGAUGACGUCAAGUCAGCAUGCCCCUUACGCCCUGGGCUACACACGUACUACAAUGGUCGGGACAACGGGCAGCAAGCAGGCAACUGUAAGCGAAUCUCAUCAAACCCGGCCUCAGUUCAGAUUGCAGGCUGCAACUCGCCUGCAUGAAGGAGGAAUCGCUAGUAAUCGCAGGUCAGAAUACUGCGGUGAAUCCGUUCCCGGGCCUUGUACACACCGCCCGUCACACCAUGGGAGCUGGCCACGCCCGAAGUCGUUACUCCAACCUGCAAAGGAGGAGGAUGCCGAAGGCAGGGCUAGUGACUGGGGUGAAGUCGUAACAAGGUAGCCGUACCGGAAGGUG
rnacentral:rRNA from 1 species